rnacentral:rRNA from 1 species
AUUGAACGCUGGCGGCAUGCCUUACACAUGCAAGUCGAACGGUAACAGGUCUUCGGAUGCUGACGAGUGGCGAACGGGUGAGUAAUACAUCGGAACGUGCCCGAGAGUGGGGGAUAACGAAGCGAAAGCUUUGCUAAUACCGCAUACGAUCUCAGGAUGAAAGCAGGGGACCGCAAGGCCUUGCGCUCACGGAGCGGCCGAUGGCAGAUUAGGUAGUUGGUGGGAUAAAAGCUUACCAAGCCGACGAUCUGUAGCUGGUCUGAGAGGACGACCAGCCAAACUGGGACUGGGACCAGGCCCAGACUCCUACGGGAGGCAGCAGUGGGGAAUUUUGGACAAUGGGCGCAAGCCUGAUCCAGCCAUGCCGCGUGCAGGAUGAAGGCCUUCGGGUUGUAAACUGCUUUUGUACGGAACGAAACGGCUCUUUCUAAUAAAGAGGGCUAAUGACGGUACCGUAAGAAUAAGCACCGGCUAACUACGUGCCAGCCGCCGCAGUAACAC